AUUGAACGCUAGCGGGAUGCUCUACACAUGCAAGUCGAACGGCAGCGCGGACUUCGGUCUGGCGGCGAGUGGCGAACGGGUGAGUAAUGUAUCGGAACGUGCCCAGUAGCGGGGGAUAACUACGCGAAAGCGUAGCUAAUACCGCAUACGCCCUACGGGGGAAAGCAGGGGAUCGUAAGACCUUGCACUAUUGGAGCGGCCGAUAUCGGAUUAGCUAGUUGGUGAGGUAACGGCUCACCAAGGCGACGAUCCGUAGCUGGUUUGAGAGGACGACCAGCCACACUGGGACUGAGACACGGCCCAGACUUCUACGGGAGGCAGCAGUGGGGAAUUUUGGACAAAGGGGGCAACCCUGAUCCAGCCAUCCCGCGUGUGCGAUGAAGGCCUUCGGGUUGUAAAGCACUUUUGGCAGGAAAGAAACGUCGCGGGCUAAUACCCCGUGGAACUGACGGUACCUGCAGAAUAAGCACCGGCUAACUACGUG
rnacentral:rRNA from 1 species